rnacentral:rRNA from 1 species
ACUUAGGGCAAUCCCUUUCUGAAGACACCAGAUAGAUUCCCUCUAAUCUUUAAGCUAAGUAGGAUCAGCCUGGUCAGUACUUGGAUGGGAGACCACCAAUGAAUACCAGGUGUUAUAGACU